rnacentral:rRNA from 1 species
GGACUACCCGGGUUUCUAAUCCUGUUUGCUCCCCACGCUUUCGCACCUCAGCGUCCAGUAUGAGCCAGUGAGCCGCCUUCGCCACUGGUGUUCUUCCGAAUAUCUACGAAUUUCACCUCUACACUCGGAAUUCCACUCACCUCUCUCACCUGCUAGCGAUGCAGUCUCAAAGGCAAUUCUGGAGUUGAGCUCCAGGCUUUCACCUCUGACUUGCAAAGCCGCCUACGUGCGCUUUACGCCCAGUAAUUCCGAACAACGCUAGCCCCCUCCGUAUUACCGCGGCUGCUGGCAC